GGGCCCGUAGCUCAGCCAGGUAGAGCAGCGGAGGUUGCUGACCCGUUGGUCGCGGGUUCAAAUCCCGCCGGGCCCA
rnacentral:tRNA from 1 species